CUUUUGGCUAAGAUCAAGUGUAGUAUCUGUUCUUAUCAGUUUAAUAUCUGAUACGUGAGCCAUUGGCUCACAUGAUAUUAAAUUAAUUUAUUUAGGGGAAGGGCCCACCACAGUAGCUUGCUAUUGGGGCUCUCGAGCGUAGCCCAAGCGUUGCACUACUGCAUGGGCGUGGCGCAUCCCAUCAAAUUUAGUUCCAACAUUUUAUUAUCUUUAAACUCAAGUUUGUGUUGUAAUAGCAUUUCCACUCAUGACAAAGGGCAGUUAUUAUUCACUGUAAUAUAUAUAUAUAUAUAUAUAUAUAUAUUUUAUACUUGAAUGAUUCAUUUAGAUAAGAUUUUCAGUUUCCACAUGUCAAUAUUUAUUAUAAAAUUCAUAUCUCAUAUUUCGGAUAAAAUUUUCAGUUGCUAUGUGUCCAUAUUUAUUAUAAAAUUAAUAUCUCAAAUUUCAUAAAAGAUUUUCAGUUGCCACGU
rnacentral:lncRNA from 1 species